rnacentral:rRNA from 1 species
CCCUUAGACGUUCUGGGCCGCACGCGCGCUACACUGACGAAGGCAACGAGCUUUCCUUUACCGAAAGGUACGGGUAAUCUUUUGAAACUUCGUCGUGCUGGGGAUAGAUCCUUGCAAUUUUUGAUCUUAAACGAGGAAUUCCUAGUAAGCGAAAGUCAUCAACUUGCGUUGAUUACGUCCCUGCCCUUUGUACACACCGCCCGUCGCUACUACCGAUUGAAUGGUUUAGUGAGGCCUUCGGAUCCGCGACUCGUUUUGUGGAGAAGUUGGACAAACUCAGUCAUUUAGAGGAAGUAAAAGUCGUAACA